rnacentral:rRNA from 1 species
AUGACUCUCAGCAACAGAUAUCUUGGCUCUUGCAACGAUGAAGAACGCAGCGAAAUGUGAUACGUAGUGUGAAUUGCAGAAUUCUGUGAAUCAUCGAGUCUUUGAAUGCAAGUUGUGCCCGCGGCUCGUCCAAGGGCAUACCUUCCUGAACGUCCCU